GUUAUAUGGUCAAGUGAAGAAGCGCAUACGGUGGAUGCCUUGGCAGUCAGAGGCGAUGAAAGACGUGGUAGCCUGCGAUAAGCUUUGGGGAGUCGGCAAACAGACUGUGAUCCAGAGAUCUCUGAAUGGGGGAACCCACUCAGCAUAAGCUGAGUAUCUUGUACUGAAUACAUAGGUGCAAGAGGCGAACCAGGGGAACUGAAACAUCUAAGUACCCUGAGGAAAAGAAAUCAACCGAGAUUCCCUUAGUAGUGGCGAGCGAACGGGGACCAGCCCUUAAGUUGAUUUGAGAUUAGUGGAACGCUCUGGAAAGUGCGGCCAUAGUGGGUGAUAGCCCCGUACACGAAAAUCUCUUGUCAAUGAAAUCGAGUAGGACGGAGCACGAGAAACUUUGUCUGAACAUGGGGGGACCAUCCUCCAAGGCUAAAUACUACUGACUGACCGAUAGUGAACCAGUACCGUGAGGGAAAGGCGAAAAGAACCCCGGAGAGGGGAGUGAAAUAGAACCUGAAACCGUAUGCGUACAAGCAGUGGGAGCCUACUUUGUUAGGUGACUGCGUACCUUUUGUAUAAUGGGUCAGCGACUUAUAUUCAGUGGCGAGCUUAACCGAAUAGGGGAGGCGUAGCGAAAGCGAGUCUUAAUAGGGCGUUUAGUCGCUGGGUAUAGACCCGAAACCGGGCGAUCUAUCCAUGGGCAGGUUGAAGGUUAGGUAACACUGACUGGAGGACCGAACCGACUACCGUUGAAAAGUUAGCGGAUGACCUGUGGAUCGGAGUGAAAGGCUAAUCAAGCUCGGAGAUAGCUGGUUCUCCUCGAAAGCUAUUUAGGUAGCGCCUCAUGUAUCACUCCAGGGGGUAGAGCACUGUUUCGGCUAGGGGGUCAUCCCGACUUACCAAACCGAUGCAAACUCCGAAUACCUGGAAGUGCCGAGCAUGGGAGACACACGGCGGGUGCUAACGUCCGUCGUGAAAAGGGAAACAACCCAGACCGUCAGCUAAGGUCCCAAAGUCAUGGUUAAGUGGGAAACGAUGUGGGAAGGCUUAGACAGCUAGGAGGUUGGCUUAGAAGCAGCCACCCUUUAAAGAAAGCGUAAUAGCUCACUAGUCGAGUCGGCCUGCGCGGAAGAUGUAACGGGGCUCAAACCAUGCACCGAAGCUACGGGUGUCAUCUUUGAUGACGCGGUAGAGGAGCGUUCUGUAAGCCUGUGAAGGUGAGUUGAGAAGCUUGCUGGAGGUAUCAGAAGUGCGAAUGCUGACAUGAGUAACGACAAUGCGAGUGAAAAACUCGCACGCCGAAAGACCAAGGUUUCCUGCGCAACGUUAAUCGACGCAGGGUUAGUCGGUCCCUAAGGCGAGGCUGAAAAGCGUAGUCGAUGGAAAACAGGUUAAUAUUCCUGUACUUCCAGUUAUUGCGAUGGAGGGACGGAGAAGGUUAGGCCAGCCUGGCGUUGGUUGUCCAGGUUUAAGGUGGUAGGCUGGAAUCUUAGGCAAAUCCGGGAUUUCAAGGCCGAGAGCUGAUGACGAGUUGCCUCUAGGCGACGAAGUGGUUGAUACCAUGCUUCCAAGAAAAGCUCCUAAGCUUCAGAUAACUGGGAACCGUACCCCAAACCGACACAGGUGGUUAGGUAGAGAAUACCAAGGCGCUUGAGAGAACUCGGGUGAAGGAACUAGGCAAAAUGGCACCGUAACUUCGGGAGAAGGUGCGCCGGCGAGGGUGAAGGACUUGCUCCGUAAGCCCAUGCCGGUCGAAGAUACCAGGCCGCUGCGACUGUUUAUUAAAAACACAGCACUCUGCAAACACGAAAGUGGACGUAUAGGGUGUGACGCCUGCCCGGUGCCGGAAGGUUAAUUGAUGGGGUUAGCGCAAGCGAAGCUCUUGAUCGAAGCCCCGGUAAACGGCGGCCGUAACUAUAACGGUCCUAAGGUAGCGAAAUUCCUUGUCGGGUAAGUUCCGACCUGCACGAAUGGCGUAACGAUGGCGGCGCUGUCUCCACCCGAGACUCAGUGAAAUUGAAAUCGCUGUGAAGAUGCAGUGUAUCCGCGGCUAGACGGAAAGACCCCGUGAACCUUUACUAUAGCUUUGCACUGGACUUUGAAUUUGCUUGUGUAGGAUAGGUGGGAGGCUUUGAAGUGGGGACGCCAGUUCUCAUGGAGCCAUCCUUGAAAUACCACCCUGGCAACUUUGAGGUUCUAACUCAGGUCCGUUAUCCGGAUCGAGGACAGUGUAUGGUGGGUAGUUUGACUGGGGCGGUCUCCUCCCAAAGAGUAACGGAGGAGUACGAAGGUGCGCUCAGACCGGUCGGAAAUCGGUCGUAGAGUAUAAAGGCAAAAGCGCGCUUGACUGCGAGACAAACACGUCGAGCAGGUACGAAAGUAGGUCUUAGUGAUCCGGUGGUUCUGUAUGGAAGGGCCAUCGCUCAACGGAUAAAAGGUACUCCGGGGAUAACAGGCUGAUACCGCCCAAGAGUUCAUAUCGACGGCGGUGUUUGGCACCUCGAUGUCGGCUCAUCACAUCCUGGGGCUGAAGCCGGUCCCAAGGGUAUGGCUGUUCGCCAUUUAAAGUGGUACGCGAGCUGGGUUUAGAACGUCGUGAGACAGUUCGGUCCCUAUCUGCCGUGGACGUUUGAGAUUUGAGAGGGGCUGCUCCUAGUACGAGAGGACCGGAGUGGACGAACCUCUGGUGUUCCGGUUGUCACGCCAGUGGCAUUGCCGGGUAGCUAUGUUCGGAAGAGAUAACCGCUGAAAGCAUCUAAGCGGGAAACUUGCCUCAAGAUGAGAUCUCACUGGAACCUUGAGUUCCCUGAAGGGCCGUCGAAGACUACGACGUUGAUAGGUUGGGUGUGUAAGCGCUGUGAGGCGUUGAGCUAACCAAUACUAAUUGCCCGUGAGGCUUGACCAUAUAACACCCAAGCAAUU
rnacentral:rRNA from 1 species